AACCACAAUGUGAACCUUUUAUUCCGUAUGCUAACCGAGCCUGCUGUUGCUUCAUUGCUUCAGCAGCCAGGUCGGUCCUUGCAGGGCUUCGCCUUGUAUGGAAUACCCCCUGGUGGCACGGUUGGUGUAUGCCCCCACACCGCUGUUCAUCGUCCCAGCCUCGGCUGGACAAAUGGACAGCUUCAAAAACAAAAUCUGAAGUCCUGGGUGCUAUUUCAAUGGCCCCACUAACAAAGACAACUCUCAACAACGGAUAUCUUGGCUCUCGCAACGAUGAAGAACGCAGCGAAAUGCGAUACGUAGUGUGAAUUGCAGAAUUCCGUGAACCAUCGAAUCUUUGAACGCAUAUUGCGCUCGAGGCUUCGGCCAAGAGCAUGUCUGCCUCAGCGUCGUUUUGACACCUCACUCCCAUACCUUUUUGGUAUCAUGCAUCAGGCUAUUGCUUGAUGUUGGGGGUGGAUCUGGCUUCCCCAGAGCUUGCUCUGGGUUGGCUGAAGUGCAGAGGCUAGAGCACGGACCCAUAUGGGUGUCAACUGGAUAGGUAGACUCCACGUUAGUGGACUACACGAAGUUGUCGCCUGGGAUACGUGUUGGCAGCCAAACAGGAAACUUCUCUCACUUCGACCUGAGCUCANGCAAGAUUACCCGCUGAACUU
rnacentral:rRNA from 1 species